rnacentral:rRNA from 1 species
CCUACGGGAGGCAGCAGUGGGGAAUAUUGGGCAAUGGGCGCGAGCCUGACCCAGCAAAGCCGCGUGAGGGAAGAAGGCUUUAGGGUUGUUAACUUCUUUUAAGAGGGAAGAGCAGAAGACGGUACCUCUUGAAUAAGCCACGACUAACUACGUGCGAGCAGCCGCGGUAAUACGUAGGGGGCAAGCGUUGUCCGGAUUUACUGGGUGUAACGGGCGUGCAGCCGGGAAGAAAAGUCAAAUGGGAAAUCCCGCGGCUCAACCGCGGAACUGCAUUUGAAACUGUUUUUCUUGAGUACCGGAGAGGUCAUCGGAAUUCCUUGUGUAGCGGUGAAAUGCGUAGAUAGAAGGAAGAACACCAGUGGCGAAGGCGGAUGACUGGACGGCAACUGACGGUGAGGCGCGAAAGCGUGGGGAGCAAACAGGAUUAGAUACCCGGGUAGUC